GAUGAACGCUGGCGGCGUGCCUAAUACAUGCAAGUCGAGCGAACGGACGAGAAGCUUGCUUCUCUGAUGUUAGCGGCGGACGGGUGAGUAACACGUGGAUAACCUACCUAUAAGACUGGGAUAACUUCGGGAAACCGGAGCUAAUACCGGAUGAUAUGUUGAACCGCAUGGUUCAAAAGUGAAAGACGGUCUUGCUGUCACUUAUAGAUGUAUCCGCGCUGCAUUAGCUAGUUGGUAAGGUAACGGCUUACCAAGGCAACGAUGCAUAGCCGACCUGAGAGGGUGAUCGGCCACACUGGAACUGAGACACGGUCCAGACUCCUACGGGAGGCAGCAGUAGGGAAUCUUCCGCAAUGGGCGAAAGCCUGACGGAGCAACGCCGCGUGUGUGAUGAAGGUCUUCGGAUCGUAAAGCUCUGUUAUUAGGGAGGAAGAUAUGUGUAAGUAACUGUGCACAUCUUGACGGUACCUAAUCAGAAAGCCACGGCUAACUACGUG
rnacentral:rRNA from 1 species